AAUAGCUCCUCAAAAUCUCUGAAAAUUAUUUUUUUAAUGUAUUUUUUUUUAUUUUCUAAUGUAUUUUUUUUUUUUAAGAGAGAGCACAAGCAAAGGAGGGGCAGAGAAAGAGGGAGAGAGAGAGAGUCUCAAACAGCCUCUGCAAUGACAGCACGGAGCCCGACGUGGGCCUCAAACUCACAAACUGUGAGAUCAGGACCUGAGCUGAGAUCAAGAGUCAGAUGCUUAGCUGACUGAGCCACCCACGCUCCCGUGUAUCCUAGGUUUUGACGAGAACAUGACCCCAGAUGAUGCAGAAGAGAUUCAUUCUAAAAGUCAAGAAAACAGCUGGGUCAAAUCAUGCUAAACAGGGAUAAUAUUACCCUGCUCCAAAGUCUCUCCAACUAGAAAUGAUCAGUGAAGUGAGAAAUUCUUGAGAAGGCCAAGUAGUUUGUUUUUUUCGAUGCCCUUCUUUGGGAGGAUAGUUCUAAAACAUUUGUUGAGAUUGUUUUGAUUACCUUUAUGUUAUUACCCGAUGACAAUAAAUGCUGUGGGGUGGUUUUUACCUAAAAAGGAUUCAUAGUAAGUAAAGGAUGACAAUAGAACUGAAAAAAUACAGUAACCGAAAUAGAAAACUCACGGGACAGGUUCCUAGUGCAGUAGGAAUGACAAAAGAUAGAAUCAGCAAACUUGAGGACAGAUCAGUAGAAUUUAUACCAUCUCAACAACAAAGAGAAAAUAGAAACCCACACAGUUUCAGGGAUUGUGGGACCAUAACAAGACAUCCAACAUUCAUGUCAUCAGAGUCCCAGAAGGAAAGGAAAAAAGGGGGUAGCUAAAAGCAGAUUCAAAGCAACACUGGCUAGAAACUUGCAAAAUUUGGGAAAAUGCAUAAACCUACAGAUGCAAGAACAGUUUACCUUAGGUUAGGACCCCCCCACCAAAAAAAAAAAAAAAAAAAAAAAAAAACCUCAUCGAAGAUGCAUCAUCAGGAAACUAAAGACCGAGAAAAACUGUUGAAAGCAGCCAGAGAGAGAUCACAAAGUACCAAUACAGGAACACCAGUUCGAAUGCUGGCGCAUUUCUCAUCUGAAACCCGAGGCCAGAAGGAAGCAGCAUGACACGGUUCAGGUGCUGGAAGAAGAGAGCUGUCGGCCACAAAUUCUAUAUCCUCCGUGCAGCUAUCUUUGAGGAGUGAAGGGGAACUAGAGACGUUCUCAAAAGAAGAAAAACUAAAACACUCGGUCACUUCCGGACCUACUCCUCAAGAACAGCUAAAGAAGUCCUCCGGACCUUAGGGCAACGAUGAAGGAGCGUCAGCAAGGAAGACGACGGGAGGAACAGGUACAACAGGCCUGCCUUUUCCUUGUGAUUUUCCUAAAUCAUCUUUGAUGAUCGGAACAGAAAUGGUAACACCAUUUGAUACUCAGGACCAUGAUAUGUAAGAGCAGGGAAAUCAGAGUUGCCAAAUGCAAUCAGGCUUUGGAUGCUUAGCUUGAAAUGGGAAAAUGGGCGGCCACGUAGUAAAACGCUCCCUGAAUGCUUAUGCGAAGAAACUGACUGAGCUGCAACAUAGCAGGCUAAUACCAAAUUUGGGGAAAGCACGUUGAAAUCUGCAUUGUUAGCACUGUAUCACUAGGACUCAACGCUUGACUGAACAGGAUUUAAAAUGUAUGAGCACUUACGUGUGCGUACAGAAAAAUUCUUCUUGCUUAUUUCUCCCUUGAUUUAGCAAUAGUCAGACCUGCAAAUGCAUAAAAUCUUAAGUGAUUACUAAGAAGGUGCCUUGCAUGAUGACGACUACCUCUGUUUGCAGCUGUGAUUUUAAAAACCGUUGCCUAAUAAGCCAGCAUGGAAAGUGGCUCGUAAUCUCCUCUUUUGCAGAAGCAGGAGCAGUGACCUUCUCAGUGGCUCUGAGGAGUAUGAGCUACCGUCAGAAAGCACAGUGGGUUCUGCUAAGCUGGCGGUCAAGCAGCGGAGACGCCGUGACACAUGGGGGACUGGAAGCCCAGACAGGGGACGCUAACAGAAAACGGACAGCAGAGGAGCAGCCCUGAAGCCCAGAGCCCACUCACCGUGGUCUGGUGACGAGGGUCCGCUCCCCGCCACGUGGCCUCCCUGUCCGCCCCCUCAGAUUACAGACUGGCAUGUCCGGACUCUUCCCCCGAGAGGCGGCCUGGAGGGGACCCUGCCCCUCCAGCCUCCUGGCCUCUCUCCAACACGCAGGCCUUUCCCAGACCGAAGUUCCUGAGGCAGCACUUCCUUCAGGGAGAUCUGGAAGAGAGAGAAGGGUCGACACCUUCUCGGGAGGCCUCCUCUGGCUGCAAGGAUAAAAUUCUGACGGAACUACUAGUCUGCACCAACCACAGAUAGGCCGUCUUCUUUCUCCUCCCCCGGUAGACGCUGGAGAUGUUUCCUCUCGAGUUGUUGGGGUUCAACUGGACAAAAUUCUACAGGCGGUACAGAGUCUGUGAUCAGAAAAAUGCCUUUAUCACGGCGAAAAUCUGCUCGUGCCGAUGGACCGGAGAGAAGGCAGAAGAAGCAGUUGUGUCUCGGCGUAGCUGUUCUCCCUUGAAAUCCGGUAAAAAUGGCCCCGUGAAUGCAGGGCCUAAAAGUGAGUCCCCAAAGUGAGGGGCCUCUGGGACCCACACGCCAUCCCCCAAACAGGAAGAACCAUUUUCCUGGCAACGGAAAGAUUAAUCAUGCGUUUCACAAAGGAGACGCAAGGUUCGGUAAUGUGCGACCUUGAUUUACAGUGGCCUCCUGAUUUAUUGUUGUGUAUUUUUAAACCAUGCUAUUUAAAACACAGCUAAUUUAAAAGCUAGUGUGUAGGCCCCGUCUGACUAUGGCUAAAGAUUUACUUUGUGCUAAUAAGAAAAUUAUUGUGUCUACGCUAUUCCCACUUCUCCCGCACUGUGUGAUCCAACCUCCAAUAAAAUUGCUUGUCAGGUGAGAGACAUUGGUUUUCUACUGUAGUUACUAUUUCUUUGUCUCCAUCCCCCGCCCCUCCCCCCCCGAAAUACAGUUUACCGAAUGUUACAGACACUACAUAAGAAAGAUGCUUCUUAGCAACAGCGCUCAGGGUGAAUGAAACAGCAAGUGUUUUUAAAGGGGCCCUUUCUACCCGCAAGAACAGUACCGGCAAGAACUGAUGCACUUGGGUCAGAGGAUAGACACAUCAGCACCUUCCUCUCCUGCAUGAGGACACCGCCUGCCUCCCCGCCCAGCAAAGCCAGGCAGCCCAGUCGGCCACCCCCUUCCACUUGCACAGCGGCUGCUGGGAUCCGGGGCGAAACUCACGAAUUGAUAUUUUUAAAAAGUUCAGAAUAGGGCCUGACUCAUGGCAAACGUGCAGUAAGUGUUAGCCAUUCUUUUUAACUCAGAAAUAUUAAGUUCUAUGCAAGCUCAUUUUGUCCUAAAUAUUGUUAGUACAAGACUUUAG